UUUCAGCUAUAGAAGCAAUAAAGAACCUCGAUGAACAAAUACAAUUUCUGAGUAUUUUCACUUAAAUUUUACGUGUCAUUUAUAAACCAAGUUUGUUACGAAGCUUUUUUUGCAUUCAGUGAUUUAAAGACUCACAAAACCAGUAAGUUGAUUGGUUUAUGUAUCAAAACAAAUUUCUUCUAGCCAAGAAGCUGAUGUCAGCAGUAAGUUCUCCUAAAUCAAACGAACCUGAAAGUCUCGAAGAAGGAGAGACCAAGCCAAAACGAUGCAAAAGGAAGCUGUAUUCCACUGUCGUUUCUGGCCCUCUAGAUAUACCUGCUUCUUCGGAAUCUGAGGAACAAAAGAAGGAAAGUGAUCAUCUGAUCAUCAAGCGACGGCUGAGAUCCAAAACAGCUAAAAAACCUUGAAGAAGCACGUUUGUUCCCCCUUUGUCAGGGACAUACUUCUAUCAUAUUAUUUAAACUGGUUGUUAAUAAAAAGUAACAGUUACUCCAUGUUCUUGAAUUUGUAUAUAGGUGUACAGUGUCUCUCUGACAGUUUCAAACUGACUCCAUUGAGGCUGAAAUAAAUACAAGCUUUCUUAAA